CUACCAAUCCUGCGUGGAGGCUGGUCCGUGCGAGCAGCCUUGUGAACGCAUUCCCUUUUCAUUCUGGUCUCAAAUCAGGUAGGAUCACCCGCCGAACUUAAGCAUAUCAUUAAGCGGAGGAAAAGAACUAACAGGAUUCCCCUAGUAACGGCGAGUGAAGAGGGAAGAGCUCAAAUUUGAAAGCUGGCACCUCCGGUGUCCGCGUUGUAAUCUCGAGACGUGUUUUCCGUGCGGCGCUAUGGACAAGUUCCUUGGAACAGGACAUCGUAGAGGGUGAAAAUCCCGUACUUGCCAUGGACGUACCGUGCUUUGCGAUACACGCUCUAAGAGUCGAGUUGUUUGGGAUUGCAGCUCAAAAUGGGUGGUAGACUCCAUCUAAAGCUAAAUAUCGGGGAGAGACCGAUAGCGAACAAGUACCGUGAGGGAAAGAUGAAAAGCACUUUGGAAAGAGAGUUAAAAGUACGUGAAAUUGUCGAAAGGGAAGCGCUUGAAGUCAGCCAUGCGCUCAGGACUCAGCCUGGCUUCUGCUGGGUGUACUUUCUGGGUUGCAAGUCAGCAUUGGUUCGGAUCGUCGGAGAAGCGUAGAAGGAAUGUGGCGUCUUCGGGCGUGUUAUAGACUUCUACUGGAUACGACGAUCUGGAUCAAGGAACGCAGCGCGCCUUAUGGCGGGUCUUCGGACACCUUCGCGCUUAGGAUGCUUGGCGUAAUGGCUUUAAGUGGCCCCGUCUUGAAACACGGACCAAGGAGUCUAACAUAUGUGCGAGUUUUUGGGUGGGCAAACCCAUAAGCGUAAUGAAAGUGAAUGCAGGUGGGAUCCGCAAGGAGCACCAUCGACCGGCCCUGAUCUUCUGGGAUGGGUCUGAGUAAGAGCAUAUCUGUUGGGACCCGAAAGAUGGUGAACUAUGCCUGAAUAGGGCGAAGCCAGAGGAAACUCUGGUGGAGGCUCGCAGCGGUUCUGACGUGCAAAUCGAUCGUCGAAUUUGGGUAU
rnacentral:rRNA from 1 species